AGCGAACGCUGGCGGCAGGCCUAACACAUGCAAGUCGAACGGACUCUUCGGAGUUAGUGGCGGACGGGUGAGUAACACGUGGGAACGUGCCUUUAGGCUCGGAAUAGCUCCUGGAAACGGGUGGUAAUGCCGAAUGUGCCCUUCGGGGAAAGAUUUAUCGCCUUUAGAGCGGCCCGCGUCUGAUUAGCUAGUUGGUGAGG
rnacentral:rRNA from 1 species